ensembl:lncRNA
CCAGGUGCCUCUGAGGGGGGUGACUGGUGCCCCUGGGGGAUGCAUGGGGUAACUGGUGCCCCCAGGGUGUGUGUGGGGGGUAACUGUUGCCCCUGGGGUGCAUGGGGUCCCUGGCGCCCCUCGGGGUGGGGGUCAGCCCCCCUGGGAGUCCCUGGGCCGGGUUCAGACCAGGUGCCGUCUCUACCCCUGCUGUGCCUGGCCGGAGCCAGCACAGAGCCGAGGCCUCCCAUGCCGCCCAGCGCUGCGGCCCGCGGCAGGGACACGGCCGAGUCCUAGCUCCGCCAGAGAUGGUGCUGUGCGCUGUGUUAACGGGUGCGUUUCGUCGCUUCCCCACAGGCAAUGCCGGAUAACUCCAUCCGGGAGAUAGCGGAGGAGCCACCAGCCGCAGCCGUGCCGGGUGGGAGGUGCAGCAGAGGCUCCUCCGCCAGAAGCAGUGCAUGCAGGAAAACUCUGCAGCCUUCCCGUGGUCUGAUAAGUUACUCUUUAAAAACUCUGGCAGCCCGGUUCUGUUUGCCAAGCUUGGGGGUCAGAAAAGGCGAUGGAAAAAUGCAGCAUGUGCAGGAAGACCGUAGCUAUAAAGCAGUUAUUGAUCAGAGGGGAAAUGUGGGCUACRCUGUAAGCCCAGUUGCUUAACACUGUUGAAUCUCACUGAGAAAAACUGGUAUUUUCCGACUCCUCUGGACUGGGGAGGGGUAGUGGAAGAGGAUGAAAUUUAAGGAACUUAACAUGAUGAAAAAUCACAGUAAUACAAGGCUGGAAAUUUUUUCUGAAGCUAGAGGCAAUGUUUGGGGCUGGAAGUACAGUUUGAAGAUGGCCUUUUCUUGUCAUCAUAGGAAAACGAAGUUACUUAUUGUCCUUGUUGUUGCYUGUCAGGUUGGGUCUGAAUAUUUCUAUUUUUCUUGCUUCUUUUGCCAGGGAACAUCAAAAAACAGAAGUGCAGCAACACAGGUCUGCAGACAAAAGUGCAUUCACAUUACCAUAGAUGGAAUACUUUGGAGAAGAUACAAGAGAAGGAUUUCAGCUUAAUCAGGUCCAGGCACAAGUUUUGGACCCAUAGCUAAAACAGCAGAGCAUCAGCAACAUCUGUCUCCUCUCUGCACUGAGAUCCAAGAGGACUGAAGAGCUCUCCAGGCAUUUUUAUGACAAGAAGAUUUGCAUAUUCGAGAACCACCUUGCCUUUUCUCCUCUUUAUUUUUCCUCCUCUUUUCCCAAACACAGAUCAGUAACCUUUAUUAACACUGGGUCUGAAAAGCAUGUCCAUGUUUAAAUAUGAACACAGAUGGGCGUUUGUUCCUGUGGGGUUUUCAUUCAACAAGGAAUGUGUAAUCAAUGUGUGUAAUGAAUUAUAUCCAUUAUCACGGUUUGUUGGGACAGCUCCGGGAGCCAGGAUCUGGGUCAAGUCAGGAUUCCCAGAAAUGAGAACAAUAAGCCGAGGUGGCAAGUAGGUGGACUGUGGGGGUGAGUCAGCUGCAUCCCCCGCUCAGAAGCACCGACCUCUUUUGAGGGGAGGUUUUUUAGAAAGUGCGCCGUGAAGAUGGGGAGUGCUUCAUGACCCAAGCUGCAGCCUUGGCCAUUGGCUUACCCAGUCCAUCGCUAGCUCUUGCUCUUGAUAAGUAGUUAUUUAUACAAAGCAGAGCUGCUCCAGCAGAAAAGAAAGCUCUGAUGAGUCAGAGCAGAGGCAGCUUGCACGUGAGCACAGCUGGAGCAUAGGAGACUUAGCUGGAAGAAAUGCUGAUGUGGGGAGACUAUAAAUGGUAGCUGAGUAAGACCCAGAUGUGCCUCAGAGAUGCCUAAAGGGUGAGUGUAGGUGCCUAAGCAGGGCCAGGUUUUUGGCCCCAGGCAGGUCUGGAGCACAAGCUUAGGCGAUAAGUGUGAAGCAGACACCAAAUUCGUCAGUGCCAAGAUUUGGGUGAGAUAAACCUCACCUUCAUUUUCACCGGGGGUUGUUAUAAUCUUCCCUGGAGGAUGGAGCAAUCUCCCAUGAAGGAUAGCUAGUGACAGUCAGUUCAGAGGGUGAAUUCGCUCCUCCUCCUGGGAAGAACACGAGCAUMUGUGUCCUUCCAUUUCACAUUUGCUCCUCUCCCAUGUAGUGGCAGCCUCUCASUCUUCCCCCAUUUGCUCUCUGUGUUUUCAGACAUCUGUGACCCAGUGGUUGAGACCCUGGCUGAAUUAGUCCSUUUUUCAGACAGCAAAGACUUUCUGUGCUCUUUGACAUCUCCCUGAUCUUGGGUCACCAAAGGAUCCAGAGAGGAGCACUAGGGUCCCUCCAAUACUAAGGCUGUGCUACAGGUCUUACCGUCACCCUCUUCAUUGCAUCGUCCUUUUCACAGCCUCACUCCACAAGAGAGAUUUUUUUCUGGCUUCUUGUCUUUCCCUCCACCCCCACCUUUGCAGCUCAUUCAAAGAAUGUGGGUUUUUGCCAGAGGCAGCCAAGACUUUAAAUGCAUCUGGUGUUAACCAUCCACCUCUUAGAAGCUGAGGUCCUAAAGCUGGGKGACCCUUUGGAUUGGGCUGUUGUAACCACUGUGAGCCACUUUUCUCUUUCUUGGUCACAUCCUCACACUGUGAAACAUUGCAUCAUCUGAGCUCAGCUGGUCCAGAAGCAGGGAUGUCUGACCUGGACAUUUUGCAUACUAYGGUCCUGAAGGUAGAGAAUGGGGGUGUUCCACAGGACAUUUCUUUCUGAUGUCCUAUGAGACUGUGACCAUCUACUGGCUCAAAUUAGCAGUGCUCACAGAAUCAGAGAAAAACUUAAAUCAGAAGGGAGCUCUGGAGGCCUCUAAUCCAAUCACCUGCUCGAAGUAGGCUAACUCCAAAGCUAGAUCUGGUUGCUCUGGGCCUUGUCAGACUGAGUUUUGAAUAUCUCUGAGAGCGGAGAUCUCCCCAUUCUCUGGUGCCUGUCCAAGGGCUGCACCUCGCUUGCACAGAAGCAGUUUUCCCUUAAGUCCAAACAGAAUUUCUCCUGUUGCAACUCUUGCCCUCUCCCUGUGCACCUCUGUGAAGAGUAUGGCUCCACCUUCUCUGUAAACCUCUGUAGAUGGUGAGUGGUGACUGCAGUCAGGUCCCCUUCACUGUCCCUUCUCCCARCUGGACAAGCCCACUUCCUUCAGCCUCUCCUUGUACAUCACGUGCUCCAUCCCCCAGCCAUCUUUGGGGCUGAUUUCAACUCUGCUUCAGUGGCUGCCUGAAGACGCCCUGUUGCAGGGUGAGCAGGAGGGGUGGCACAGCCCAGUCGCUGGUGGAGGGGCCUUGCCGCACGAGCUCCUCACAGGGGGACAUGAUGCACAGUCCAGCUCUUCCACGUGUUCGGUGCCUGGUGUGGCAUGAACCAGCAGCUGAGGCUCAGAUAUAUUUGCAAAACAACUUUCUGGAAGAAGGGAAGGGAGGGAAAGCAUGUGCCUUGGGAGAACAGCAUUCUGGUGCGUGGACAACUCCAGAAACCGCCAUACUGAGUCACUCGGGGCCCUGCUGGAUGGUGUCAGUGGGAACUCUUUCAGCUACACCCUUGUUCCAAGAAUGAGUGCUAGCGCUGUGUGUAGCCAAGGUCCUACGCUGUUCCAGAUGCUUUGGCCAGAUGAUGGUAAAGUGAAUCUGUUCUUCCACCAUGCCAAUCUUCCUCCUUGGGCACACAUGGACUGAAGUGUGACAUGAAGUCAUGAAGUGCUCUGGCGGGUAGAUAUACACUGUCUGACUAUGUGGGGAAGCAGCAAAUAAAUCCAG